rnacentral:rRNA from 1 species
AUUGAACGCUGGCGGCAGGCCUAACACAUGCAAGUCGAGCGGGGACUUCGGUCCUAGCGGCGAACGGGUGAGUAAUGCUUGGGAAUCUGCCCAGUAGUGGGGGAUCACGUCCCGAAAGGGACGCUAAUACCGCAUACGUCCUACGGGAGAAAGAGGGGGAUCUUCGGACCUCUCGCUAUUGGAUGAGCCCAAGUCGGAUUAGCUAGUUGGUAGGGUAAUGGCCUACCAAGGCGACGAUCCGUAGCUGGUCUGAGAGGAUGAUCAGCCACACUGGAACUGAGACACGGUCCAGACUCCUACGGGAGGCAGCAGUGGGGAAUAUUGGACAAUGGGCGAAAGCCUGAUCCAGCCAUGCCGCGUGUGUGAAGAAGGCCUUCGGGUUGUAAAGCACUUUAAGCGGGGAGGAAGGUUCGCGGCCUAAUACGUCGCGGAAUUGACGUUACCCGAAGAAUAAGCACCGGCUAACUCUGUG